AGGGAUGACGGCCUUCGGGUUGUAAACCUCUUUCAGUAGGGAAGAAGCUUUCGAGGUGACGGUACUUGCAGAAGAAGUACCGGCUAACUACGUGCCAGCAGCGCGGUAAUACGUAGGGUACAAGCGUUGUCCGGAAUUAUUGGGCGUAAAGAGCUCGUAGGCGGUCCGUCGCGUCUGCUGUGGAAACGCAAGGCUCAACCUUGCGCGUGCAGUGGGUACGGGCGGACUAGAGUGCAGUAGGGGAGUCUGGAAUUCCUGGUGUAGCGGUGAAAUGCGCAGAUAUCAGGAGGAACACCGGUGGCGAAGGCGGGACUCUGGGCUGUUACUGACGCUGAGGAGCGAAAGCAUGGGGAGCGAACAGGAUUAGAUACCCUGGUAGUCCAUGCCGUAAACGUUGGGCACUAGGUGUGGGGCUCAUUCCACGAGUUCCGCGCCGCAGCUAACGCAUUAAGUGCCCCGCCUGGGGAGUACGGCCGCAAGGCUAAAACUCAAAGGAAUUGACGGGGGCCCGCACAAGCGGCGGAGCAUGCGGAUUAAUUCGAUGCAACGCGAAGAACCUUACCAAGGCUUGACAUACACCGGAAUGUGCCAGAGAUGGUUCAGCCCUUUGGGCUGGUGUACAGGUGGUGCAUGGUUGUCGUCAGCUCGUGUCGUGAGAUGUUGGGUUAAGUCCCGCAACGAGCGCAACCCUCGUUCUAUGUUGCCAGCACGUGAUGGUGGGAACUCAUAGGAGACUGCCGGGGUCAACUCGGAGGAAGGUGGGGAUGACGUCAAAUCAUCAUGCCCUUUAUGUCUUGGGCUUCACGCAUGCUACAAUGGUCGGUACAAAGGGUUGCGAGACCGUGAGGUGGAGCGAAUCCCAGAAAGCCGAUCUCAGUUCGGAUCGUAGUCUGCAACUCGACUACGUGAAGUCGGAGUCGCUAGUAAUCGCAGAUCAGCACG
rnacentral:rRNA from 1 species